rnacentral:rRNA from 1 species
CCUACGGGAGGCAGCAGUGAGGAAUAUUGGUCAAUGGACGAGAGUCUGAACCAGCCAAGUAGCGUGAAGAAUGACUGCCCUAUGGGUUGUAAACUUCUUUUAUAUGGGAAUAAAAUGUUCCACGUGUGGGAUUUUGUAUGUACCAUAUGAAUAAGGAUCGGCUAACUCCGUGCCAGCAGCCGCGGUAAUACGGAGGAUCCGAGCGUUAUCCGGAUUUAUUGGGUUUAAAGGGAGCGUAGGUGGGUUGUUAAGUCAGUUGUGAAAGUUUGCGGCUCAACCGUAAAAUUGCAGUUGAAACUGGCAGUCUUGAGUACAGUAGAGGUGGGCGGAAUUCGUGGUGUAGCGGUGAAAUGCUUAGAUAUCACGAAGAACUCCGAUUGCGAAGGCAGUUCACUGGACUGCAACUGACACUGAGGCUCGAAAGUGUGGGUAUCAAACAGGAUUAGAUACCCUUGUAGUC